CAGGACAUUAGGGCACAGGGACGUGUGCACAUACAACACCAGUGUGCCAUGUGAAGAUGGCCUGCUGGGCACCACCAUUCAGAUGCAAAGGAAUGUUGGGUCUGAAGGUCUUACCCCAGAAGAAACUGUGAACUUCAUCUUGUCUGCCUAGAGGAUGAGAAGAUCCAGAGCCAGGAAGGGAAGCCCGUCACUCAAGCCCGCUAUGAAGCAGCCUGCAACAGUCUGGCCCACAAGGUGGUGCAGCUGGGCUUGGGGGCAAAGUCGCAGUGAUGAUGGUGCCGAGAGGGCAAUGAGGGCACUGCCACCCAGGAACAUGGCAAGGAAUUGACUUCAAAGGUUCACUUGUAUGUGUACCCAUUAUGUGUAUUUUGUGUACUCCUGGGGGACACUCUCAUGACUGUAAAUAAGGUUCCUUUGUUUCUAAAAAUAAAAAUUUUAUCUUUUGUGAAGAGA